rnacentral:rRNA from 1 species
CGGUGUUUAACUGGCGUGAUGUGGGACGUCCUACCGGUGGGCUUAGCCUCGCGAGGGGCGGCCCAACUAAUAUCCCGUCGCGGUGCUCUUUACUGAGUGUCGAGUCGGGCCGGUACGUUUACUUUGAACAAAUUAGAGUGCUUAAAGCAGGCUAUCCUCGCCUGAAUACUGCGUGCAUGGAAUAAUGGAAUAGGACCUCGGUUCUAUUUUGUUGGUUUUCGGAACCCCGAGGUAAUGAUUAAUAGGGACAGAUGGGGGCAUUCGUAUUGCGACGUUAGAGGUGAAAUUCUUGGAUCGUCGCAAGACGGACAGAAGCGAAAGCAUUUGCCAAAAAUGUUUUCAUUAAUCAAGAACGAAAGUUAGAGGUUCGAAGGCGAUCAGAUACCGCCCUAGUUCUAACCAUAAACGAUGCCAGCUAGCGAUCCGCCGAAGUUCCUCCGAUGACUCGGCGGGCAGCUUCCGGGAAACCAAAGCUUUUGGGUUCCGGGGGAAGUAUGGUUGCAAAGCUGAAACUUAAAGGAAUUGACGGAAGGGCACCACCAGGAGUGGAGCCUGCGGCUUAAUUUGACUCAACACGGGAAACCUCACCAGGCCCAGACACCGGAAGGAUUGACAGAUUGAUAGCUCUUUCUUGAUUCGGUGGGUGGUGGUGCAUGGCCGUUCUUAGUUGGUGGAGCGAUUUGUCUGGUUAAUUCCGAUAACGAACGAGACUCUAGCCUGCUAAAUAGGCGUACCUUAUGGUAUCGCGAAGGUCCCCGGCUUCGGCCGGUGGGUUUUUACUACCAACGUACAAACAAAUCUUCUUAGAGGGACAGGCGG